GUCCAUGCCGUAAACGUUGGGCACUAGGUGUGGGGACCAUUCCACGGUUUCCGCGCCGCAGCUAACGCAUUAAGUGCCCCGCCUGGGGAGUACGGCCGCAAGGCUAAAACUCAAAGGAAUUGACGGGGGCCCGCACAAGCGGCGGAGCAUGCGGAUUAAUUCGAUGCAACGCGAAGAACCUUACCAAGGCUUGACAUGUUCUCGAUCGCCGUAGAGAUACGGUUUCCCCUUUGGGGCGGGUUCACAGGUGGUGCAUGGUU
rnacentral:rRNA from 1 species